rnacentral:rRNA from 1 species
UACGUAGGGUGCAAGCGUUAAUCGGAAUUACUGGGCGUAAAGCGUGCGCAGGCGGUUUUGUAAGUCUGUCGUGAAAUCCCCGGGCUCAACCUGGGAAUUGCGAUGGAGACUGCAAGGCUAGAAUCUGGCAGAGGGGGGUAGAAUUCCACGUGUAGCAGUGAAAUGCGUAGAGAUGUGGAGGAACACCGAUGGCGAAGGCAGCCCCCUGGGUCAAGAUUGACGCUCAUGCA